rnacentral:rRNA from 1 species
AUGGUCUAUCUGUAUUGGAAGUUACUGAGUAAAAGUGACGUAGUAUGCACUAAUGUAGGAAACAUAAACCUCAUGGGUCUCGCCAUGCUUGUUCUACCAGUGCUCUUAGGGUUGUUUUAUGGAGCAAGUGACAUUAAUUGCUCAACAGUUCAUGGUAACACCACAGAUCACCGUUCACUGCUUGAUUUCAAAGGGGCCAUCAGAGCGGACCCAAGAGGAGCCUUGCGCUCUUGGAAUGAGAACAUCCACUACUGUAUGUGGUCGGGCAUCAAGUGCAGCACAAUGCACCCAGAACGUGUUACAGUGCUAAACCUUGCCAACAUGAGCUUGACAGGCCAAAUCACACCCUCUCUAGGAAAUCUAACCUUCCUUUGGGAACUUACACUAUCCAACAAUCUCUUCUCUGGCCAGUUGCCCUCUCUCAAUCGUCUUAUAAGAUUAGAAAGCCUUUACUUACAGAACAACUUGUUGCAGGGGAACAUUCCGAAUGCACUUACAAAUUGUUCCAAACUCCUUUUACUAGACCUCUCUUCUAACAUGCUAGUGGGUUCGAUUCCUGGAAAUAUAGGUUCCCUCUACAAUCUAAAGGGAAUUGACCUUUCCAAUAAUAGCCUCACAGGAAACAUUCCACCAACCUUCGGCAACAACACUUACUUAGAAGAGCUACGACUUACCCACAAUCAACUCAAAGGAAGCAUUCCUGAAGAUCUUGGGAAAUUGCCGAAUAUGGGGAAGAACCGGGCGGUGUUUCUCGGUCAGAAUAGGCUAUCGGGUAGAGUUCCAACAACAUUGUUUAAUCUAUCCAAGCUUAUAAUACUGGACCUAAGUAUGAAUAAGCUAAGGGGCACAUUACCAUACAAUAUCGGUAAUCUAUCUGCCGCGCUUCAAUGGCUAAUUUUGGGUGCAAACAACUUGUCUGGGACAGUGCCACCGAGCAUUGGGGCCCUAAAGAACCUAACAGUUUUAGAUCUUGGAGGAAACAACUUCGUUGGACCAAUACCAUAUUCCGUCGGGAGUCUGCCAAAGUUAUGGAAGCUUGAUCUUUCCAAUAAUCAUUUUGAUAGUUGGUAG